rnacentral:rRNA from 1 species
GAACGAAGGCUUCGGCCUUAGUGGCGCACGGGUGCGUAACGCGUGGGAAAUCUGCCCUUGGGUUCGGAAUAACAGUUAGAAAUGACUGCUAAUACCGGAUGAUGACGUAAGUCCAAAGAUUUAUCGCCCAGGGAUGAGCCCGCGUAGGAUUAGCUAGUUGGUGAGGUAAAGGCUCACCAAGGCUACGAUCCUUAGCUGGUCUGAGAGGAUGAUCAGCCACACUGGGACUGAGACACGGCCCAGACUCCUACGGGAGGCAGCAGUGGGGAAUAUUGGACAAUGGGCGAAAGCCUGAUCCAGCAAUGCCGCGUGAGUGAAGAAGGCCUUAGGGUUGUAAAGCUCUUUUACCCGGGAAGAUAAUGACUGUACCGGGAGAAUAAGCCCCGGCUAACUCCGUGCCAGCAGCCGCGGUAAUACGGAGGGGGCUAGCGUUGUUCGGAAUUACUGGGCGUAAAGCGUACGUAGGCGGUUUAUCAAGUCAGAGGUGAAAGCCCGGGGCUCAACUCCGGAAUUGCCUUUGAAACUGGUAGACUUGAACAUGGGAGAGGUAAGUGGAAUUCCGAGUGUAGAGGUGAAAUUCGUAGAUAUUCGGAGGAACACCAGUGGCGAAGGCGGCUUACUGGACCAUUGUUGACGCUGAGGUACGAAAGCGUGGGGAGCAGACAGGAUUAGAUACCCUGGUAGUCCACGCCGUAAACGAUGAUAACUAGCUGUCGGGGCUCUUAGAGCUUCGGUGGCGCAGCUAACGCAUUAAGUUAUCCGCCUGGGGAGUACGGCCGCAAGGUUA